UACAGAGGUCUCGAGCGUUGUUCGGAUUCACUGGGCGUAAAGGGUGCGUAGGUGGCGCUGUAAGUCGGGUGUGAAAUCCUGAGGCUUAACCUCGGAACUGCAUUCGAUACUGCGGUGCUUGAGGACUGGAGAGGAGACUGGAAUUCAUGGUGUAGCAGUGAAAUGCGUAGAGAUCAUGAGGAAGACCAGUGGCGAAGGCGGGUCUCUGGACAGUUCCUGACACUGAGGCACGAAGGCCAGGGGAGCAAACGGG
rnacentral:rRNA from 1 species